rnacentral:lncRNA from 1 species
GCCACGUCGCGGCCUGGCUGGGGUAGGAGAGGGCGGUCCCCAGUGCAGUUGGGUGAACUACCGUUGCACACUGGAGUUUCUGGUGUCUUUGCUUGGAACUGACCUAGCUCGUGGCAGGGGGAACUCGGCUAGCGGCCCCACAGCCCCUGCUGACUCAAAACAACUGAGUUGUAAGACGUUCAUCGCCGUGUUAUCCUUGAGUAAAGCGGGCUUUUGCCAUGUUGUCCAGGCUGGUCUCUACUCCUGGGCUCAAGCAGUCCUCCUGCCUCAGUCUCCCAAAGUGCUGGAAUUACAGGGAAUGAACUCUGGAAGCCCAGCCAGGGACAAUGCACCUUCACAGAGAUUCUGCACUAAUCUGAGUGAAGGUCUAAGGUUUGGAAUCUCCCCCUCAUGGAGAGAAGCUUUGUAUGGCUGUCAUGCUUAGACAGUGAUUCCUGCAACUUGACCUUCAGGCUGGGAGAGGUGGAGAGCCAUGCCUGUUCUCCUUCCUUGCUAUGGAAUUUGCUGACACAAUAUCUUCCGCCUGGUGCUGGGCAUAUCCUAAGAACUUACAACUUUCCUGUAUUAUCCUGUGUGAGCAGCUGUCACCUUAUUGGGGGAAAAAUGCCUGAAAAUUAGGGGGCACUUCAAGUAGAUAGCUUCUAUUUCCUAUAUUUGUCUUAUAUACAAGUAUUUGCUUUUAUCAAAAUAAUUCCAAUAAAGCAUUUUAAAGUAAAGAA